CCUCCCUUGGAGAAGAUGAAAGAGGAAUGCGAGACAGCAAAGGAUGCUCUGCAUAUACAAUCAAUCUACGUGAGGUCCUUUGAAGCCCUUUGCAAGCUAAUGGAGACAUUGCUGGAGGAAGCACCAACCGCAGACUGGUUCCAGGAAAUGUUUGAACUCCUAAGGACAUGGUUCAGUUCAGAGAAGGAGUGGGAGAGAGAGAGGGCCUUGCAGGC